AAAAAAAAAAAAAACAGAAGUCACUGUCUCCAUGUAGAAUUGUGCCUAUAUGAUAACCAUUAAGGUUUAUUCAUUUCUUGCUGCCUCUGUAUCAUGUAGCUAUUAGUUGCACUUGUAUUUGGGUCUUUAGGGGAUACGUGGGAGGUUGAUGUUGUAUUAUGUUUCAAUAUUCCAACGUGGAUAGCUAAUGAGCUAGCAAGAACAGAUGGCUAUAACAGUACCAGGUGUAGCUUCAAGGUUCCAUGAACGUGCAAUUUUCUGGUUUGGAUCAUUGCCAUAUUUGACGUUUUUGAAGCAUUUCUCAACUGGCAUUUCAACCUUCUUGAGUGUAGAUAAUUUAAAAUUGAGUGUCAGAUAUCUGCUGGAAGAUGAAAGUAUUUUUCCUUCUAUUUUUGUGAUGCAGUGAAGAACAUCCAUGCUUUGUUGGAGUUUCUUCCUGCAAUUUGGAAGUCUCGCACAUGUAUAAUUGUGUAUUGUUAUUUAGAGCAAUGGUUAUGUUAAUCUUCAUCACUUGAAGAACAGUUUGAUUCGAUGCUUUACUAAUUGAAAAUUGUCUUGAUUUAUCAAGAGAUGUCUUUGGUGCUUCGACAUCAAACGAUUGUGUUAUGUCCUCCUGUAAUAUCCGUCGUAUACAGUAUUGUCUGUUUAUAUACAGUGACAUAUUCCCGCGCUGGUCGAUGAUUUCAUAGCCUUGGUCAUUAUUAUUGAAAUUCAUCUUGUUCUUUAGUUAUUGGGAACACCAAUGUUAAUCUGGUUUGUUUUCUACUCCUUUUUAAUUUGAUCAUGGUGAAACAGUUUGUCCAGGUCUUUUUAUAAAUGUUUUUUAUUUUGGUAGUAUUUGAUGCAGUUUGACUAAUGCAGGCGCAGUGACACUUAUUAGUGAACUCGUAUAUUGUGCAGCAUCUAAUUGCUAGUUUGUUUUUGACCUUGAAUCCUAAUAUUUCGUCUUAGAAUUGCUUCACAAUUGCGGGUCUUGCAACUGUUUUGCGAAUCAGAUUUUGUGGGAAGAGGUGGUGGAUUUCUUGGUUUUUAAGUUAAUGGCUUGAAUAUUUUUUAUUGCCAUAAAUCCUAAUUAAUUCUCUGGGAAGAUCGGAGUAUUCGCAAUGUUGCUUUCCGAGCAGAAAUGGGAAGGUUCAUUUAGAUUAAUAGAGUCGAUGAUGUUACGGGUUUCCUAGGCCGUAUAAAUAUUGCCGGAGAAUGGUUUAUUGCGUGUAUUGAAGUAGCUAGUAGUAGGUAAAUCCUUUUAGUGCAAGUUCUCUGCAUCAUUUUCUGAAGCGUAGACCCGUUUUCUGGUGUGGUGUUUGGUCUCGUAAGUAGCAUAGGCCGAAAAUUGUUUUGUACACAUUUAUUUCUUGUCGUUUCAAGUUUACUUGAAGUUACUUCAGUAAUUUUUAACAUAAUUUAUAAUAUUUUUAUUAUUAUCUUCA